UACGUAGGGUGCGAGCGUUUGUCCGGAUUUAUUGGGCGUAAAGGGCUCGUAGGCGGCGUGUCGCGUCGGGGAGUGAAAGCCCGGGGCUUAACCCCGGGUCUGCAGUGGAUACGGGCAGGCUAGAGGUAGGUAGGGGAGAAUGGAAUUCCCGGUGUAGCGGUGAAAUGCGCAGAUAUCGGGAGGAACACCGGUGGCGAAGGCGGCUCUCUGGGGACGGUACUGACGCUGAGACGCGAAAGCGUGGGGAGCGAACAGG
rnacentral:rRNA from 1 species